rnacentral:misc_RNA from 1 species
GAUGAAGAACGUAGUGAAAUGCGAUAAGUAAUGUGAAUUGCAGAAUUCAGUGAAUCAUCGAAUGUUUGAACGCACAUUGCGCCCAUUAGUAUUCUAGUGGGCAUGCCUGUUCGAGCGUCAUUAAGUCCACUUAAGCCCUGCUUAGUGUUGGGAGACUGCUCCAGCGGUGCUACCCUGUAGCUACCCUGCAGCUCCUCAAAGACAGCGGCGGAGUUGUGGUAUCCUCUGAGCUUAGUAACUUGUUCUUGCUUUCGAGUACACCACUUCCCCUGCCGUAAAACCCUUAAUUUUUAAUGGUUGACCUCGGAUCAGGUAGGAAUACCCGCUGAACUUAAGCAUAUCAAUAAGCGGAGGA